UGGAACAAANAUUUAUAGAGAAAAUGUCUAACUAAACUAACUAUCAACUACUAACUACUAUGACGGUUGGAAGAGAAUCUUGUGAGCUGGAGAAUCUGUUACAGCUAGAAGGAUCCAUGUGAAAUGAAUCUGGAACGUUGAAUCUGAAUUCUGGAUUGCUCAACUAGAAGGGAUCUGGUGCAAUUCUAAUACACCCCCCUCAAGAUGGACUAUCCAUCUUGAAGAUUAAGGGAAAUGGAUGCAAAAAAAAAGUUCUGGUAAAAACAAUGGCUUCUGCAUCGGAAGAAGAAACUUCUUCUGAUGAUGAUCAACCCAGAAGAAGAAACGUCUUCUUUUGGCUUUUAACUAAGUGAUUAUUUUCAAUUUGAUGGCGUUGAUUGUUCCGUCAUUCAUCAGCGAUUCCAGAACAUCAUUCUCAUUAACAAUCAGGUCAUCUGGUUUGUACUUCCAAAAGUUAGGAUCCUGCCUCAACAGAGUUUAAACUUCUUCCUUCUCAACAUAUGAUAUCCCACAGUAUUGUGGAUUAGUAAGAAAGCCAACAAAUGAAAUGUAUUCAACAGGCACCUGUUGAAGCCUAUUAAUCUAGUGGAUGAAACACUCGAGUUAUCGAACGAUCUACAACUACAGCAUCAGGUAGUGGCAACAAAGACAAAACUCUGCAUGAUGCGUGUGAUUGACUGGCUAUGGAAAAGCAAAGACUUAUUUUAGUUUGCUGAUUCACUUCGCAAUAAGCUCAAAUUCUUCUAUGAACUGGAAAAUGUUGCUACCAGUUUUUAUUCUCUGAACAUGAAAGUCUUUUGUACUUUGAAGGUUCCGCCCAUUAACAACAGCCUUCAGAAAACACAGAAUUGCUAAAAAAAAUCAUGGUUCCAGUAGAAUGUUGGAAAUGAUAGCAGCAAAAUUCUGGAAAAGAAGAGCAAAAAUCUGAAGCCAAAGUUAUCUUCAAAUGUCGACAAAUUGAAGGAUGAUCUGUAUGAACUGUGAUAAAUCUGCUUUCAUUGAGUAGAAGACAGGAAGAAUGAGAUGAAUUAAAUUUCAGGAAAACGACAGCAGGAAGCAAAUUCGUUUGCUCUAAUGCCAUGUUAGAAAACUUCAAUUGAACUUCAUAAAGGAGAAAAACAAACUCCAUAAUAGGAGAAGAGAAGGCACUCCAUGAAAGGAGGAAAUACAUUCCAUGAAGGAGGGGAGAAACCUCCAUAAAAGGAGGGAUUGGAAGACUAUACUCCAAUGAAUUACAAUGAACAACCGGUUGUGUAUUUAUAGAGAAAAUGUCU
rnacentral:lncRNA from 1 species